rnacentral:tRNA from 1 species
AAAGCGCUAGUUAAACCAUAAUCUUAGAUUGUCAAACUAAAGUUACCUCCGGUGCGCUUUG